CUCAGGAUGAACGCUAGCUACAGGCUUAACACAUGCAAGUCGAGGGGAAACGACAUCGGAAGCUUGCUUUUGAUGGGCGUCGACCGGCGCACGGGUGAGUAACGCGUAUCCAACCUGCCCACCACUUGGGAAUAACCUUGCGAAAGUAAGACUAAUACCCAAUGACGUCUCUAGAAGACAUCUGAAAGAGAUUAAAGAUUUAUCGGUGAUGGAUGGGGAUGCGUCUGAUUAGCUUGUUGGCGGGGUAACGGCCCACCAAGGCGACGAUCAGUAGGGGUUCUGAGAGGAAGGUCCCCCACAUUGGAACUGAGACACGGUCCAAACUCCUACGGGAGGCAGCAGUGAGGAAUAUUGGUCAAUGGACGAGAGUCUGAACCAGCCAAGUAGCGUGCAGGAUGACGGCCCUAUGGGUUGUAAACUGCUUUUAUAAGGGAAUAAAGUGAGUCUCGUGAGACUUUUUGCAUGUACCUUAUGAAUAAGGACCGGCUAAUUCCGUG
rnacentral:rRNA from 1 species